AAGGGCUCUCUCUGGUGACGAUACCAUUCAGGAGCCGGAGCAAUAAAUGAGCGAGUUGGACGCCACAUAAGCACUGAGUUUUGUAAAAGAUACACAGACUAUGGAGCGCAGCCAAAAUGCCAGGAACAAAAGUGGAGGCUGAGGGGAAUCCGUUUGUUGUAUUUAAUGCCAUUACCACGAGCCCAUCCUCCCCAGUUAAGGUGGAAAAUAAAAUGCACCAUCCCUUUUCCUGGAUCAUGGGGAGUUAUUUUUAAAGACUAAUAAAUCAACAUUCUUUCAUCGUUUGUGGGCAACAAAUCUGACAAGAAAUCAGCUACCAAGCAACCUCAGAGUCCUAAGGAGCAACUGAAGAAAGCUGAUCAGAAAGGAGAUAACAAAAAGCAAGGAGGACAGCCGAAGGGAGAGAAGCAAUAAUUUCCAGGUAUUUGUAAAGAUGGCUCUGGAGACUCUGCUGGGAUCCUGCCAUCACAAGCAUGGGGAUCCUCAGGGUAGACAAGGCUGAAGAACCUCCCUUGGGCCUGCAGACAGGCCAUCGCUACACAACUACGCUCACCUCUUCUCACAAGGGCAGAAAGUGACCCACAUUUCCAUCCAUCAGUGAUCCACUGGGUAUGCCCUUUCUUCCCACCCUGUUUCCCCUCCCUCAGUCUGCUCUGGAUUGUAGGAAGCUUGGAAAUGGAUGGUCACGAGGUCAAACUCAGCCAAUGAUCUGAGCUUCCCGAGAAACUGAAACCAUCAUCUACCCAAUUGUUCCCUCCCAAAGUUCCUUAUUUUGAUCAACUAACAGUCCAAACCAUUCUUGUAAAUAAGCAAAUAAACUAUUUCCUAAAACAGUC